rnacentral:tRNA from 2 species
GGUCCCUUAGCUCAGCUGGAUAGAGCGCUGCCCUCCGAAGGCAGAGGCCAGAGGUUCGAAUCCUCUAGGGACCGCCA